GGAGUGGGCCGGGUGAUCGCCGGCCGUCGGGCGGGCCACGUCGUGGUCCGGCGGGCGGCGGGAGGAAAGUCCGGGCUCCGCAGGGUGCGAUGGUGGGUAACGCCCACCGGCCGCGAGGCCAGGGACAGUGCCACAGAGAACAGACCGCCGUCGGUUCGUGCCCUUCCGGGCAUGGCCGGCGGUAAGGGUGAAACGGUGAGGUAAGAGCUCACCAGCAGCCCGGGUGACCGGGCUGGCUCGGCAAACCCCAUCGGGAGCAAGGCCAAGCAGGAAGAAGUCCGUGCCGAGUCCUCCGGGAUGCGGCCGGCGCGAGGCGUCCCGUCUCGCACCAGCUUCCGGGUCGGCUGCUGGAGACGCCGGGCAACCGGCGUCCUAGAGAAAUGGUCGCCGGUCGCCUGCCGUGAGGAUGGGCGACGACAGAACCCGGCUUACAGGCCCACUCCAGUC
rnacentral:RNase_P_RNA from 1 species